rnacentral:rRNA from 1 species
GACGAACGCUGGCGGCGUGCCUGACACAUGCAAGUCGGACGGUUCUUGCACCUUCAAGCUUGCUUGCUGGUGCAGGGAUAGUGGCGGACGGGUGAGUAACGCGUGAACAUCUACCCAUUGGAGGGGGACAACCCGUCGAAAGGCGGGCUAAUACCGCGUAAGCCGUGAGGUGAGAGGCUGCCUAUUGGUGGCCGCCGAUGGAUGGGUUCGCGUCCUAUCAGCUGGUUGGUGGGGUAACGGCCUACCAAGGCGAAGACGGGUAGCCGGGUCUGAGAGGAUGGCCGGCCACAUUGGGGACUGAGACACGGCCCAAACUCCUACGGGAGGCAGCAGUGGGGAAUAUUGGACAAUGGGCGCAAGCCUGAUCCAGCCAUGCCGCGUGAGUGAUGAAGGCCCUAGGGUUGUAAAGCUCUUUCACCGGUGAAGAUAAUGACGGUAACCGGAGAAGAAGCCCCGGUAACUUCGUG